UGAGGAAUAUUGGUCAAUGGGCGAGAGCCUGAACCAGCCAAGUCGCGUGAGGGAAGACGGUCCUACGGAUUGUAAACCUCUUUGUCGGGGAGCAAUAAGGCGUACGCGUACGCAGAUGCGAGUACCCGAAGAAAAGCAUCGGCUAACUCCGUGCC
rnacentral:rRNA from 1 species